rnacentral:rRNA from 1 species
CACCCUGUGUCGUUAUACCUUCGUUGCUUUGGCGGGCCGCGGGGCCCCGGCCCCGCCCCUGGCUCCGGCUAGGGCGCGCCCGCCAGAGGACCUCAAAACCUGAAUGUUAGUGUCGUCUGAGUACUAUAUAAUAGUUAAAACUUUCAACAACGGAUCUCUUGGUUCUGGCAUCGAUGAAGAACGCAGCGAAAUGCGAUAAGUAAUGUGAAUUGCAGAAUUCAGUGAAUCAUCGAAUCUUUGAACGCACAUUGCGCCCCUUGGUAUUCCGGGGGGCAUGCCUGUUCGAGCGUCAUUACAACCCUCAAGCUCUGCUUGGUCUUGGGCGUCACCGGUCCCGGUGUGCCUUAAAAUCAGUGGCGGCGCCAUCUGGCUCUAAGCGUAGUACAUACUCUCGCUACAGACGUCCGGUGGAUGCUGGCCAGCAACCCCCAACUUAUCAAGGUUGACCUCGGAUCAGGUAGGGAUACCCGCUGAACUUAAGCAUAUCAAUA